CUCUCACGGAGGCUGCCAUGACACUUGGUUUCCUGCGUUUGGAUUGGCGAGUAGCAGCCUGACGUCAUGGUUUAUGAUCCAAUCAGCGUUCAGGUUCAGGGUCGCCACACGACCUUCCUGACACGACCCUCCAGUUUUAUCCGAGCCUCGGAUCAGUAAUGAGAGUGAAGUCUUCAAUGGCCGUGUUAACUCCCUGGCCAGGAAUCAAACCUGGGCCACGGCAAUGAGAGUGUGGGAGCCUGCUGCAAGACCACCAGGAGUUAUUUGCUGAUACCAUUAAUAGAUAAAGCAAGUUAAAGAGUUGCUUCCAAACAGAGGAGAAAUACAGCCUCUAAAUGUAAAUGUUUGUCUUAUAUCAGUCAUUUAUUUUGAACAAUAAGACAUAUCUAGUCUGUUUGUAUAAUGUACAGUUUACAAAGUUUAAGUACAACGAUUGUACCACAACGGCUUUAACAGUUUAAUGUCCCAAAGGCACUGCAUACAAUGAAUGACAAAGGAUAUGUAUAUAUAUGUGUAUAUAUAUAUAUAUAUAUAUAUAUAUAUAUAUAUAUAUAUACACGUAUAUAUAUACACGUAUAUAUAUACAUACGUAUAUAUAUAUAUAUAUACACGUAUAUAUCUAUAUAUAAUUUUUUUAUUUAUUUAUCUAUAUUAAAGUACAAUUAAAAAACUCUAUAGCUUAUUGAAAACAACAUAUGCAUUAAUUCUUACACAAAGCUUAAAACUGCUACAAUCCUCGUUACUUACAGAGCUGGAGCACAGAAGUGAAGCUUUCUCUGGGCUUUGCUAAUAUUUUUAAGCUGCCAGACCUGUAGUUCCUUAAACAACAUUGUUUUUUGUGGCAUUCACAAAUACAAAUCAGAUUUGCUUGAGCAGGGAAAUAAAAUCAUGCUACUGUUUCAUGCCAUACAACCUCUUUGCAACAAAAAGUCUCAAGAGUCAUGCUUGACGCAUUGACUAGGCCACUUCAGUUGGCAUGGAUGCUGAUUCUCUUGCGUGUGUUCUCCGUGCAGCGCUCCAUAAUGAGCUCAUGGCUAGGCCUUGGAGGUAUUUUUGGGGUUUUCUUUGCCUCUUCUUUUAUGGCAGCUUCUUUUGCAUUGUCUUCUAUUCACAAAUAGAACAAAUGCAAUUCAAACACUUGAAAUGUGAAAUAACAGGUAAUGAAAAGUGAAAUAAAAAUCUUUUGAGAAACUAGUAUGUGUAAAUCUGUCAAGCAGAAACUCACCUGGAUUUUCCUCUGCCGUAGAUUUGGAGUUUUUCCUCGGCUGGGACAAGAGUCUCCCUCGCUGCUGUAAGAAUUUGCGACUCUGUCUGCGGUAUGUGUCUUGGCUGAUUCGUUGGCGACCUUUGGCAUGGAUGCUCUGGGCGUUGCGUAUAGUCGAUCUGUGGAGCAAGACGAAAACAUUGUUUAGGAGAAACAUGGUAAUAUCAAACAAUCUCAUGCAGCUAAGACUCUGACAGUUAUUUGGAUUAUAUGGAAUUAUAUGGUUCUACAUUGCUUUUAAAUUGCUUCGAAAUGGAACAUUUUAUGAUUCUUCAGAAGAGACACUGAAGAACCAUUAGGCUAGUGGAUGGAAUAUUUUUAUGAGUGUACUCUAGAAUAUUAGUAAUACAAAUUAUGGCACAAAUGGUUCUUUGAGGUUUCUUUAGAUGGUUAUGUGUUCAACUUCUUAAAAAUAUUCUACUUGGAACAUUGAUGCAUCCUGCAUGGAAUCUAUUCCCCAAAGUGACAAACCGGAAGAACUGGACACUAGAUUGUUGAAUAGUUAAAGGUAUAUAGAUUGAUAAUCAUGCCAAUCUUACCUCCUGGGUGGUGGAGUGUUCCUGUUGGUAGGGCUACUUACAGCCUCCACUUCCUUUCUUUCCCCGGUACUCCAAAGGAACAUGGAGGGGUAGUGCCCUGUCUCCUCUCCUUUUCUGUCAAGCAGACAAAUUGAGUGAAGUGUGAAACUCAAUCUUUGCCACUCUGCUUUCUAGAGUUAGUCAUUUCCACAAUUAUAAGCCAGAGUAGUCCAAAGAAGGCUUGUCUCAUACCUGACCACCCACCAGCCAUCCAGUAGCUUAUGGAUGACCUCAACGAUUUCUCCAACCUCUAGGCUGAUCUCAUCUUCCUCCGCUGCUUUGUAGGCUUUUGUGGUUUUGUACAGCUCUCCUGUUGGAUAUAAGCAUCAACAGAUAUGAUUUAUUUGCAUCAGUAUCACCUUACAAUACUUCUCAUUUAACAGUCUUUCAGUAAUUCUGUGAGAAAAUGUAUUCAAUGGAGAAAACCAAACUAAAAUUUGUAACUGGUAAAAUCUUAGAUAACAAAUGUUCUUCAGAUUUACCAAUGUACACUGGUAAAGGGCAAUAAAUAAUAAACUACCAAGUACAUUUGUGGUUGAUUUACUGUUGAUGGCAUUCACAAAUCUCCAUAAAUGGGGAAAAAUGACAAAGCUGAAAAUGACAAAAUGAUAACUAAAUGGUGAAACUUUGCCUUAUACUUACUUCCUCACUGGCUUUUAUAUGGUCUAUUUCUUUGUAUAGCAAGUCUUAUUUGUACUUAUAUGCGUUUCCUUCGGAUUGUAGUCUUACAAUAAAAGUCACACGAUCAAAAA